ensembl:lncRNA
AGGAACAGGUUAAUGUUAGUGGAUUACUCAGGAACAGGUUAAUGUUAGUGGAUUACUCAGGAACAGGUUAAUGUUAGUCUAUUACUCAGGAACAGGUUAAUGUUAGUCUAUUACUCAGGAACAGGUUAAUGUUAGUGGAUUACUCAGGAACAGGUUAAUGUUAGUGUAUUACUCAGGAACAGGUUAAUGUUAGUCUAUUACUCAGGAACAGGUUAAUGUUAGUGGAUUACUCAGGAACAGGUUAAUGUUAAAGUGGAUUACUCAGGAACAGGUUAAUGUUAGUAUUUCUCAGGAACAGGUUAAUGUUAGUAUUUCUCAGGAACAGGUUAAUGUUAGUAUUACUCAGGAACAGGUUAAUGUUAGUGGAUUACUCAGGAACAGGUUAAUGUUAGUGGAUUACUCAGGAACAGGUUAAUGUUAGUGGAUUACUCAGGAACAGGUUAAUGUUAAAGUGGAUUACUCAGGAACAGGUUAAUGUUAGUGGAUUACUCAGGAACAGGUUAAUGUUAGUGGAUUACUCAGGAACAGGUUAAUGUUAGUGGAUUACUCAGGAACAGGUUAAUGUUAGUGGAUUACUCAGGAACAGGUUAAUGUUAGUGGAUUACUCAGGAACAGGUUAAUGUUAAAGUGGAUUACUCAGGAACAGGUUAAUGUUAGUGGAUUACUCAGGAACAGGUUAAUGUUAGUGGAUUACUCAGGAACAGGUUAAUGUUAAAGUGGAUUACUCAGGAAC